GUAAUCCUCACACUUUCUGUAGCUGUUGGAACUAUGGUGCAUUGUGGUUCUAACAACUACAGAAAGUGUGAAAAUCAC
ensembl:miRNA